UUAGGGAGACCUCCCGCUUUGACACUUGCCAUCAGUGCAGUGCAAAGACGGUCAAUCCCAGGUCGUGCGAGGAAUGAAAUUGCAGGCUUUCAAACGAUUCCAGGUUUAUUCAUCGCCGGUAUAGAGGCAAUUGCCUAUCAAUGCCGACAACAAAAUUUACAACAAUGGGAAUUGUUUCAGCAACUGAUCUAGCAAACACUAUGUUAUGCUAGGAAGCCUGCUGGAAUGAACACCAGCAAGAACCUUGAAAAUUGCAUAGCAAAAUUUGUCAGGUAGAUACAAGUGGACAAGACUGAGUGACAUUGCCGUGAACGAUUUCACGAACAAUAAACAGCUCAGAAUUGGACACAAAUCACAGACGCCGACGUUAAUAAAAGU
rnacentral:misc_RNA from 1 species